UCAGGAGUCUCACAACACUAUACUAGCCGUGAAUUACUCUCAAGAUGCAAGAAUUUGGAGGAGUAUGGGUGUUGUGAGAAUCCAUACCUCUCGGUUCACUUCUGGAACAUUUUUUUAUGGCAUUCUAGGCUAUCACUGAAAGUCCAUGUGCCUGCCAGUGGAUAUGAACCAUCAUUCAAAUAUUCAUGCUGUGUUCUUCUUCAUUGAGGAGUCCAUAUCCUGUUCUCUACAAUUUCGCCAGUUAUAACUGAGAUGCAGUUAGGGAGAAAGAGAAGGAAAGAAAUGAAAAUGCUUUGAAAAUUUCUGUUCUUCUUGUUAAUUAAGAGAUGGUCCCAGGAACAUAAUUUUCAUGCAGGAAGCUGCCGUCCACAUCGUCUCCUAUUCUCCCCCUUUCUCAAGAAAGAUGUCCAAUUUAAAAGCCAUUUUCUUUAGUUUGCUCCUACAAAAGCCCUCUGGGGACCUCUCUUUUGCCAACAAAAGAACCAUUUCCUGACCAACAGCAGCUAUCAACACCUUUGCAAUCGAUUCCCUCUAAGCCCCAUCGUUCUCAGGAGUCAGGAAAGAAAUAUCCUGAAAAUGGGCUCCAGAGACAUCCCCGGACAGGAUUUGAUCCAAACCCACCCAGAUACGCUGUCCCGGAAGUCCUAUGAAGCGUUCCCUAAGUUUGCUCUGCUUUUUGUGACCUUCAAGACAGUGCCUGUCUUCAUCAGUAAUUCCGCCAGGAGCGGAUUCCCAGCUGAGAAUGGGAAGUGUGUUAUGGCUGACCUAGUUUAUUCUUGCUUCGGAGGCUCCAGCAGAAAACUGGCUACCGGACCACACGGGCUAACUCCAACACUUCCAUUAUUGAUGCUUUGCUUCUGACGAUCACCAGCAUCGAGGACACAGACAUGGGCUCUUAGUACUUAGAUUUUAUAGUUACCAUAAUUUCUCAUCUGAAGAAGGUAUUUUAGCUCUUCUCCUUGUGGAUAGUAUGUUCCCAAUGGUUCUCAUUUGCCAAACAAGCUUGACAAAGAGCCUGGCUAACACUUUAAAA